rnacentral:rRNA from 1 species
CAGUCGCCGCGGGAAUACGUAGGUGGCAAGCGUUGUCCGGAAUUAUUGGGCGUAAAGGGCUCGCAGGCGGUUUCUUAAGUCUGAUGUGAAGGCCCCCGGCUCAACCGGGGAGGGUCAUUGGAAACUGGGAAACUUGAGUGCAGAAGAGGAGAGUGGAAUUCCACGUGUAGCGGUGAAAUGCGUAGAGAUGUGGAGGAACACCAGUGGCGAAGGCGACUCUCUGGUCUGUAACUGACGCUGAGGAGCGAAAGCGUGGGGAGCGAACAGGAUUAGAUACCCGAGUAGUCCCUGUCUCUUAUAC